GAGUUGGAGGUAGUUAGAGCUGAUUGUUAGGAUUGAGAGGUUGUAGAGAGAGUGGCAGAGAGUUUGUUCAGGGGUUUAUGUGAGACUUGAUUGGUGAAUGUGUGGAGACUGUGGAACCAGCAGUAUACUGGGGCAGUACUCUAAAUGUGGGGGAGUGUUAAGCCUGGGAAAGAAACCUUCAAUGUGAAAGGUGCCAAGAAGUGAAACCUCCUGGUGACAGACAAGAAAGUCUGUGUUGAUUCACUAAGUCUGCAAACCAAGUUUUAUUUACCUCUGACCCAGUUAUCUAAACGUUAAAUUUUAUCAAGAAGGAAAAACCACUCAAGCGCUUUCCAGAUUGCACACUAUCACAGUGUUGCAAUGGGUCCCUUAAGUGUGCUUCCAUAUUGCCUGUGUUUUGACAUUGCAACCCUUGCAUUGUAAGGAACGUACCGUUCAUAUUUUCGACACCUUAUUUCGGAUUUUAUUGCUGUGUCACAGGCCUAUAUUAUCACAUCUGCGUUGCAAAAUAAUUUCUGUAUUUGCCCUUUGUAGGAGGCUUGCCCCCUUAAAACGGAUCUCUAAUGUGGUUUGAAUUCGGUGUCACAAAACACUGCAGUUUACACCACCUUUUGCAGUGUAAGGCUCGCAAUCCGGAAAGCACCUCAGAGAAUUAAACAAACAGCUAACGUACUUAGCAACUUUGUAGAAAAGUUUAUGUGCCCUGCGUUGCAGAGAUCUUUAUUCCAAUCAGUUGUAAACAAUAAACUUAUUCUUGCUUUUGUUCUACACAUCAAGUUUUGUUUCAUUUGCACACUGAACAUAUACACCUAUCCUGUGCUCGCGAGGCUACAUAAUCUUCAGUAUUGAGAACAAAGUAAUACGUAAUCAUAUGGUGGCAGCGAAAGAAAGUAAAAACUGAAUAGAAAUCCAGAACCUAGAGACUAACUUGUUAUAAAACAAUAUAAAAACAGAUCACUUCCCUGGACUUGAGAGAGGCGUCAGGGUGGGUUCCUAAUAGGAGCAGAUACUAUAACGAUCGCUAACACUUUUUUAAAAAUGAAGAAGGAAUAGUCUAGUUUCAGCUUCAGAAACAAGUCAACGUCAAAAGCCAAAAGAUCCACUGGACUAAGGCAAAAAAAGCAACAUCAAGAGCAACAGCAAGCAACUUGUGAGCAACAGCAAGAAAGAAGCCUUUUUAAAGAUCUGUUCAGAUUUGAGGAUUCCAGUGCAUCACCAGGAAGAUCCCAGGACAUCACAAUGGAUCGCUGCUCUGCCUACUAAGAUGAUAAGAAAGUGCGACUAGAAGGCCACAGAAAGCAGAGAACAAUGCAGGAAUAUGUUGAGCAUCCCAUGGUUCCUGCAGAAGAAGUGGAAAAGGGAAAAGAGAAAACCUUAUGAAUAGAAGGAAACGAAAACACUGUCUGCAUUCAUAAGACUGCAGUACUUCAACUGUUAU